GCUCUUCUAGUAUAAAUAAUACAAGUGACUUCCAAUCACUAAACCCCUAACACACAACAAGGGGAAAAGCAA